CCCCGUCGUGGCUGCGCGGGGCCGCGGGGGUCACCGCCCCUCGGGCGGGCCAGCCGGAGGCGGCUGGGUCACGAUGCCAGUCCACAGCCCGGGCGGAUAUCCAGCCUGCUAGGCCCUGCCUCGGAGGAACCUGCCUGCUUCAGGAAAGGAGUGCGAGGUGGUGUCCGUCUCUCUGUCAAGCUUUUCCUGCCUUCAGGCCUCUGCCCGCUCCCUCUGCUGUCCUCUCAGUGCAACAAGGGUGGUUACAACUGUGCCAGCGGAGAUGGGUGUCAGGCUUUAAGUCUAUGCCAGCAACUUCUCUUGGAUGGAGAGGACACAAAGGAGAGAGCCCAGAAGUACAAUGGCCACCAGAGGGCGGCAGACCCUGCUUCAAGCCCUGUUUUCUUUCUUGGACUCAUUAGUGCUGAACUGUUUUAUUCAAUCUCCAGAUUCAGUCUCCAUUCAAGGCCAGAUGCCCCCAAAGUGCUGGGGACUCAGCUCUCCUGAUACUCAGCAGGUUCCCUGAAAGUUGACACUGCUUCCUGGAUUUCUGCACUGUUCUUCCAGUUGAAGUAUCAAAAAGGAAUCAAUCUGCUUUGUACCCUGCCACCU
rnacentral:lncRNA from 1 species